rnacentral:rRNA from 1 species
GAUGAACGCUGGCGGCGUGCCUAAUACAUGCAAGUCGAGUGAACGGACGAGAAGCUUGCUUCUCUGAUGUUAGCGGCGGACGGGUGAGUAACACGUGGAUAACCUACCUAUAAGACUGGGAUAACUUCGGGAAACCGGAGCUAAUACCGGAUAAUAUUUUGAACCGCAUGGUUCAAAAGUGAAAGACGGUCUUGCUGUCACUUAUAGAUGGAUCCGCGCUGCAUUAGCUAGUUGGUAAGGUAACGGCUUACCAAGGCAACGAUGCAUAGCCGACCUGAGAGGGGGAUCGGCCACACUGGAACUGAGACACGGUCCAGACUCCUACGGGAGGCAGCAGUAGGGAAUCUUCCGCAAUGGGCGAAAGCCUGACGGAGCAACGCCGCGUGAGUGAUGAAGGUCUUCGGAUCGUAAAACUCUGUUAUUAGGGAAGAACAUAUGUGUAAGUAACUGUGCACAUCUUGACGGUACCUAAUCAGAAAGCCACGGCUAACUACGUG